rnacentral:rRNA from 1 species
GGCCCCGCACAAGCGGCGGAGCAUGCGGAUUAAUUCGAUGCAACGCGAAGAACCUUACCAAGGCUUGACAUAUAGAGGAAAAAGUGCAGAAACUGCACUCCCCGCAAGGUCUCUAUACAGGUGGUGCAUGGUUGUCGUCAGCUCGUGUCGUGAGAUGUUGGGUUAAGUCCCGCAACGAGCGCAACCCUCGUCCUAUGUUGCCAGCACGUAAUGGUGGGAACUCAUGGGAUACUGCCGGGGUCAACUCGGAGGAAGGUGGGGAUGACGUCAAAUCAUCAUGCCCCUUAUGUCUUGGGCUUCACGCAUGCUACAAUGGCCGGUACAGAGGGCUGCAAUACCGUAAGGUGGAGCGAA